UCUUGGUCAUUUAGAGGAAGUAAAAGUCGUAACAAGGUUUCCGUAGGUGAACCUGCGGAAGGAUCAUUAACGAGUUUUGACAUGGGUUGUAGCUGGCCUCACGAGGCAUGUGCACGCCCUGCUCAUCCACUCUACACCUGUGCACUUACUGUAGGUUUGGCGUGGGCUUUCGGGGCCUUCACGGGCUCUGAGAGCAUUCUGCCUGCCUAUGUAUCACUAUAAACACUACAAAGUAACAGAAUGUGAUCGCGUCUAACGCAUCUUAAUACAACUUUCAGCAACGGAUCUCUUGGCUCUCGCAUCGAUGAAGAACGCAGCGAAAUGCGAUAAGUAAUGUGAAUUGCAGAAUUCAGUGAAUCAUCGAAUCUUUGAACGCACCUUGCGCUCCUUGGUAUUCCGAGGAGCAUGCCUGUUUGAGUGUCAUGGUAUUCUCAACCCACACAUCCUUGUGAUGCUUGUGAGGCUUGGACUUGGAGGCUUGCUGGCCCAUCGCGGUCGGCUCCUCUUGAAUGCAUUAGCUUGGUUCCUUGCGGAUCGGCUCUCAGUGUGAUAAUUGUCUACGCUGUGACCGUGAAGCGUUUGGCGAGCUUCUAACCGUCCUGCUAGGGACAACUUACUUGACAUCUGACCUCAAAUCAGGUAGGACUACCCGCUGAACUUAAGCAUAUCAAU
rnacentral:rRNA from 1 species